AGAGUUUGAUCCUGGCUCAGGACGAACGCUGGCGGCGUGCCUAACACAUGCAAGUCGAGCGGAACUAAUUUGACCGAUUCCUUCGGGAUGAAGAAUUUUUAGUUUAGUGGCGGACGGGUGAGUAACGCGUGAGUAACCUGCCUCUGAGAGGGGAAUAACGUUCUGAAAAGAACGCUAAUACCGCAUAACACAUAUAUGCCGCAUGACAGAUAUGUCAAAGAUUUUAUCGCUCGGAGAUGGACUCGCGUCCGAUUAGUUAGUUGGUGAGGUAACGGCUCACCAAGACCGCGAUCGGUAGCCGGACUGAGAGGUUGAACGGCCACAUUGGGACUGAGACACGGCCCAGACUCCUACGGGAGGCAGCAGUGGGGGAUAUUGCACAAUGGGGGAAACCCUGAUGCAGCGACGCCGCGUGAGUGAAGAAGUAUUUCGGUAUGUAAAGCUCUAUCAGCAGGGAAGAAAAUGACGGUACCUGAGUAAGAAGCCCCGGCUAACUACGUGCCAGCAGCCGCGGUAAUACGUAGGGGGCAAGCGUUAUCCGGAUUUACUGGGUGUAAAGGGAGCGCAGACGGCGCAGCAAGUCUGAAGUGAAAGCCCGGGGCUUAACCCCGGGACUGCUUUGGAAACUGCUGUGCUUGAGUAUCGGAGGGGCAGGCGGAAUUCCCAGUGUAGCGGUGAAAUGCGUAGAUAUUGGGAAGAAACACCAGUGGCGAAGGCGGCSUGCUGGACGAUAACUGACGUUGAGGCUCGAAGGCGUGGGGAGCAAACAGGAUUAGAUACCCUGGUAGUCCACGCGGUAAACGAUGAAUACUAGGUGUUGGCAUCCAAAGGAUGUCGGUGCCGGCGCAAACGCAUUAAGUAUUCCACCUGGGGAGUACGUUCGCAAGAAUGAAACUCAAAGGAAUUGACGGGGACCCGCACAAGCAGUGGAGCAUGUGGUUUAAUUCGAAGCAACGCGAAGAACCUUACCAGGUCUUGACAUGGAGAUGACCGGCUGGUAACGCAGCCUUUCCUUCGGGACAUCUCACACAGGUGGUGCAUGGUUGUCGUCAGCUCGUGUCGUGAGAUGUUGGGUUAAGUCCCGCAACGAGCGCAACCCUUAUUGCCAGUAGCCAGCAGGUAAAGCUGGGCACUCUGGCGAGACUGCCCGGGAUAACCGGGAGGAAGGUGGGGAUGACGUCAAAUCGUCAUGCCCCUUAUGAUCUGGGCAACACACGUGCUACAAUGGCGUAAACAGAGAGAAGCGAACCUGCGAAGGGGAGCAAAUCUUCAAAUAACGUCUCAGUUCGGACUGUAGUCUGCAACCCGACUACACGAAGCUGGAAUUGCUAGUAAUCGCGAAUCAGCAUGUCGCGGUGAAUACGUUCCCGGGUCUUGUACACACCGCCCGUCACACCAUGGGAGUCAGCAACGCCCGAAGUCAGUGACCCAACCAAUCGGAGGGAGCUGCCGAAGGCGGGGCGGAUAACUGGGGUGAAGUCGUAACAAGGUAACCGUA
rnacentral:rRNA from 1 species